UACCGAGGGUGCAAGCGUUGUUCGGAAUUACUGGGCGUAAAGCGCGCGUAGGCGGUGUGUCAAGUCAGGCGUGAAAGCCCCGGGCUCAACCUGGGAACCGCGCUUGAGACUGGCACGCUAGAGUUCGGGAGAGGAUGGUGGAAUUCCCAGUGUAGAGGUGAAAUUCGUAGAUAUUGGGAAGAACACCGAUGGCGAAGGCAGCCAUCUGGACCGACACUGACGCUGAGGCGCGAAAGCGUGGGGAGCAAACAGG
rnacentral:rRNA from 1 species